UUUUCGUUCGAGUGCUACAGUAUCACUAUCGGUUUUCGGUUCGAGAAGAAAUCAGAGUUUAGAAAGGUUAUUUUGGUGAAUAAAUCGGAAUUCACUAAUGGAGGCGUGAAAAUAGCAAAACACGAAACUUACUAUAUUAUAAUCGGAGUUAAGUACGAUUCAUACCGGAAAAUGAGUUCAAAAGGUACGAAAAGAAAAUGUUACGGUUUAAUAUUACAUCACCAAAAGAAAACCCCAAAAUAUAUGGCAUCGUUCAUAGGUCCUCGUACAACUUCCAACAAAAUCCCGGGCAAGACCUCGAUCCGCUACUCGACCCAUCCCGGUUGAGAACUACUACUACCUGCAAUUAAAAGACAUCUAUAUGAGCUAUAAAGCUCAGUAAGAAAUCCGGGUAAUAUCGAACUUUGAAAAUACGUUAUACAUAACAUAUAAUAUUAUAUACCCAUUCUUACCCACGUUCCGUACCACAACACAAGACAAUCGGUCAAAUCACGUAAUUCACGAAAACACAUCAUUCACACAAAAUCACGUACUUAUGCAAAAUGACUAAAAUGCCCUUUUUACGAAAAUCAUGAAAAACAC
rnacentral:lncRNA from 1 species